AUUAUAUCACAAAUCUGGAGGGAAACCCCAAACGGCCAAAAAAACAAGAAAAAAACCCUCACUGGUUCGCUCUCUCUCUCAAUCAAAAUGACAAGACGACGCCUCAGACUCAGCUCUUACUCCGACGAUGAAGACGGCGAAGAACAGCAAAACCAACAACAAGAUUAUCAAAUGGAACCUCACCAAUUACCAAACCCUAACCUCCCUGAACAACCAGUGCCACUUCCAAUCUCCUCCGACGAUGCUGAUUUCGCCGACGCCUCCGAUAACCUCACCCCACCGUCUCCUCCGUCGAUGGCUCCACCCAUAUAUGGUUGUGCUACUGGGGAUUUUCUACUGAGAACGGGACUUAGUUUAAAAAGAGAGUGGCUUGAUUCCUGUCUUCGCCAAAUUGACAACUCGCUUGACAUAGCGUCAAAGGCAAAGCUUUGCUUUGGUCAAUUUUUGAUUUCAGAUAUGAAUCUCUGCGGUGCUGGUGUGCUUCCUCCAAAUGUGGACUCUAUGCACCUUGCUGAUCUCCCCGGACCGUUUGUGUUGCAGGUGGAUGAGAUUGUUAACAUUAGUUGCCCACUUAAAGGAAGGUAUCAGGAUGCGAAUGCGGGAGUGAAGAGGUGCCUUAAGCUGUCUAUGACGGAUGGUGUCCAACGUGUUUUUGGCAUGGAAUAUAGGCCUAUUAAGGAUCUUAAAGUUUUAGCUCCUCCAGGAUUCAAGGUUGCCAUCUGUAAUGUACAUAUACGGCGUGGGCUUUUAAUGCUGGUUCCUGAAACUUUAGAAAUUCUAGGAGGAGUGGUUGAAGAGUUGGAUGCAGCACGUCAAUGUCUUGCUGAUGAGAUAAAUAAACCACCAAGGGGAAGAAGAUCAAGGACUGGAGAGGUUCCUCCUUUAGCAACUAGAGCAACUCAGGCUGCAUGGGUCCCUAAUGGAGUCAAUAUUCCCAGUAGCACCAAUAACUCAGGUAAUGUUCCUGGGCAUACAAAUACCUCAGCGGAUGAUCUUCAGAACACCAAUGUUUCUGGUAAUGCCCUGGGACGCACCGAUAGUUCUGUCAAAGUUGUUCAACAUCCUGAUAGAUCCACAUUACAAGUUGCAACUCCCCUUCAGGAAGAUGGACGAGGUGCCAAUUUGGUUGUAUCUGGCACUGAUACUAGUCAAAGGACUGUGGAAGAAUGUGCUGUUCCAAUGAGUGCAGAAACUACUACGUUUAAUCUAUCAUCUAGUAUUGUUUCUGAUGUUGGGGAGAUGCAUAUCAAUGCUCCUUCUGUAAGUGGGGUGAAUUCUGUGUCUAACCAACACUCUAAUGGUACUUUGGAGCAAGAGGAUGUCCAUAUGAUUGAUGAAUUUGAACACCCCCUCAUAUUAUCUAGAGACCGAGAAAUCCCAUUCACAUACUUGGCUAGUUUAUCAGCUAAAUGGGCUGCAAUGAAGGAGAAAGAACCUUCUGUUCGAGGAAAGAUCAAGUGCUUCUUGACUGGUGUAAAGGGAUUCCAGUAUAAGCAGAGGACGACAUAUGAGCUUCAGGUUUAUGUUGAUGAUGGCAGCCUCAUUUCUGAGAUCCUAAUUGAUCACAAUGUAGUGCUGAAAGGAAUAGGUUGUUCUCCUGUGGAGCCCCCCGCCGCUCUUUCUUCAUCAGAUAAAAAGAGAGUUGGUGAAAUGAAGGAGACCCUGAGACAGUUUCAGAUGUUCUUAGUGAAUUUUGAGGGAACAAUGCUUAUAGAGAUAAAUGGAGCCUCUAAACUUCCUGUUGCUCUUGAGAUGAACCAAGGCUGUCCUCCUUCUGAUGCAUGGUUGCUUAUAAGAAGACUGAAGUCCUUUUCUUCUUCCCUAACACCGCGGCAUUCCUCCGUGGUACCUAUUGAUAUAUCACCAUAAUGGCUUCAAAUUCGAUGAUGCUUAAAGGGAAAUGAAAAUUGAUUAUGAUCGGAUUUUUUUGCUGCCUUUUCUGGUUAAAGGAGGAACCUUCUCUCAGCAUGGUUAUGCAGAUUCCUAGAUCAUAUUUGCGCUCACUCACCAAGCAUCUAUAAGAUAGCCUGAAAUUUUUUGCAGUGACCAGGAAAGUCGUGGUCACGCCUGAUAUCAUUGAUUGAGAUUAUUUGCCACAUGUAUAUAUGGCUGAGAAGGUGAAUGUUGCUGACACUUUACCAGGCAUGAUAUGGCGUCAUGUGGUUUUCAUGAGACUUGUGUGUUGUUGCUGAUCUUCACAAAGAUGGUCAUCACAUUAAGUCACUUGUUUAUGAAUGGGUGAAACUAUGAACUGGAGAUUUUCCAAUUGUGCUCAGAAGAGAUGUACAUGAAAUCUCAUCUUUGUAAAAAUGCAAAGCCACUCAUAUAUAAGGGAGGGGAGAGGAUUAUCCGACUAUUAACGAGACAAGGAGAAGCCACUGUUUGCUUCAUUAACUUUUAGUCGAGGGAAAAAGUACCUGAAAUAAAUUAUGGAACGGUUCCAAGCUGGUUCAACCAGGUAUUUCUCUCCUCGGCAUGCAACAUCUACAAUUGCUUUGGCACACUCUGUGGUAGACUCCGCUGGCAUCGGAUUUAUCAUUGCCUAACAAGCAAUUCAAUCCUGUUAUAAGUGGAAGCAUAAAAUUGAAGACGACUAUUAACUACAUAAUUGUAUCAUGGGUAUGGAAAUUUA